rnacentral:rRNA from 1 species
UACGGGGGGAGCAAGCGUUGUUCGGAUUUACUGGGCGUAAAGGGCGCGUAGGCGGCGUGGCAAGUCACUUGUGAAAUCUCCGGGCUUAACUCGGAACGGUCAAGUGAUACUGCUGUGCUAGAGUGCGGAAGGGGCAACUGGAAUUCUCGGUGUAGCGGUGAAAUGCGUAGAUAUCGAGAGGAACACCUGCGGCGAAGGCGGGUAGCUGGGCCGACACUGACGCUGAGGCGCGAAAGCCAGGGGAGCGAACGGG